UACAGAGGGUGCGAGCGUUUAUCGGAAUUACUGGGCGUAAAGGGCGCGUAGGCGGCCUGCUAAGUCGGACGUGAAAUCCCUCGGCUCAACCGGGGAACUGCGUCCGAUACUGGUGGGCUCGAAUCCGGGAGAGGGAUGUGGAAUUCCAGGUGUAGCGGUGAAAUGCGUAGAUAUCUGGAGGAACACCGGUGGCGAAGGCGGCAUCCUGGACCGGUAUUGACGCUGAUGCGCGAAAGCCAGGGGAGCAAACGGG
rnacentral:rRNA from 1 species